GCCGCUGUGGACCGAGGUGGUCACCCUCUCCGACUUCAAUGAUGACAUGUUGCUUCAGAGGAAGGCGGAGGUUCGAAUCCUCCCGGCGGCA